rnacentral:rRNA from 1 species
UGACCUCGAAUCAGGUAGGAAUACCCGCUGAACUUAAGC